AGUUAAAAAGCUCGUAGUUGAAUUUCUAGUUAAUUAAUAUUUUGGUUCGCCUUGUAUUAGUUAGCUAUCCGACAAUGAACCAUGUCGGUUAUUAAGUUAACCCCAUGGAGAACUGUCAUUUUACUUUGAAAAAAUUAGAGUGUUUCAGGCAGGCAAUUGCCCGAAUAUCUUAGCAUGGAAUAAUGGAAUAGGACUUUGGUUCAUUUUAUUGGUUAUUGAAUCAGAGUAAUGAUUAAUAGGGACAGUUGGGGGCAUUAGUAUUUAAUUGUCAGAGGUGAAAUUCUUGGAUUUAUUAAAGACUAUCUUAUGCAGAAAGCAUUAUGCCAAGGGUGUUUUCAUUAAUCAAGAACGAAAGUUAGGGGAUCGAAGACGAUCAGAUACCGUCCUAGUCUUGACUAUAAACUAUACCGACUCAGGAUUGGCCAUGUCUUAACUUGGUCAGCACUGUAUGAGAAAUUAAAGUCUUUGGGUUCUGGGGGGAGUAUGGUCGCAAGGCUGAAACUUAAAGGAAUUGACGGAAGGGCACCACCAGGAGUGGAGCCUGCGGCUUAAUUUGACUCAACACGGGGAAACUUACCAAGGCCAAACAGAGGUGGGAUUGACAGAUUGAGAGCUCUUUCU
rnacentral:rRNA from 1 species